AUUGAACGCUGGCGGCAUGCCUUACACAUGCAAGUCGAACGGCAGCACGGGGGCAACCCUGGUGGCGAGUGGCGAACGGGUGAGUAAUAUAUCGGAACGUACCCUGGAGUGGGGGAUAACGUAGCGAAAGUUACGCUAAUACCGCAUACGAUCUAAGGAUGAAAGUGGGGGAUCGCAAGACCUCAUGCUCCUGGAGCGGCCGAUAUCUGAUUAGCUAGUUGGUGGGGUAAAGGCCUACCAAGGCAUCGAUCAGUAGCUGGUCUGAGAGGACGACCAGCCACACUGGGACUGAGACACGGCCCAGACUCCUACGGGAGGCAGCAGUGGGGAAUUUUGGACAAUGGGGGCAACCCUGAUCCAGCAAUGCCGCGUGAGUGAAGAAGGCC
rnacentral:rRNA from 1 species